rnacentral:rRNA from 1 species
GUGUCAGCAGCCGCGGUAAGACAGAGGUGCCAAGCGUUAGGCGGAAUCACUGGGCUUAAAGCGUGUGUAGGCGGAUUGGUAAGUACCUUGUGAAAUCCCAUGGCUCAACCAUGGAACUGCUUGGUAUACUGCCUGUCUUGAGCUACUUAGGGGCAACCGGAACAAAUGGUGGAGCAGUGAAAUGCGUAGAUAUCAUUUGGAACGCCAAUGGUGAAAACAGGUUGCUGGGAGUAUGCUGACGCUGAGACACGAAAGCCAGGGAAGCGAACGGGAUUAGAUACCCGCGUAGUCC